rnacentral:rRNA from 1 species
UAGUACGAGAGGACCGGAGUGGACGCACCUCUGGUGUAUCGGUUGUCACGCCAGUGGCAUUGCCGAGUAGCUAUGUGCGGAAGAGAUAACCGCUGAAAGCAUCUAAGCGGGAAACUCGUCUCAAGAUGAGUCUUGCCGGGGCCUUGAGCCCCCUGAAGAGUCGUUCGAGACCAGGACGUUGAUAGGCCGGGUGUGGAAGCGUAGUAAUGCGUUAAGCUAACCGGUACUAAUUGCUCGUGAGGCUUGACCCU